GUCCCCUUCGUCUAGUGGCAGGACUCCAGGUUUUCGCUCUGGCAGCACCGGUUCGAGUCCGGUAGGGGAUA
rnacentral:tRNA from 1 species